rnacentral:rRNA from 1 species
CGGCGUGACCUAACACAUGCAAGUCGUACGAGAAGUCGGCUUCGGCUGAUGAGUAAAGUGGCGCACGGGUGAGUAACGCGUGGAUAAUCUGCCUUGAGUGUGGAAUAACGUACCGAAAGGUGCGCUAAUACCGCAUAAUGCCUGGCAACACAAGUUGUCCGGCCAAAGAAGGCCUCUGUUUACAAGCUUUUGCUCAAGGAUGAGUCCGCGUACCAUUAGCUAGUUGGUGGGGUAACGGCCUACCAAGGCUACGAUGGUUAGCUGGUCUGAGAGGAUGAUCAGCCACACUGGAACUGAGACACGGUCCAGACUCCUACGGGAGGCAGCAGUGAGGAAUAUUGCGCAAUGGGGGCAACCCUGACGCAGCAACGCCGCGUGAGUGAGGAAGGUUUUCGGACUGUAAAGCUCUGUCGAGCGGGAAGAAAUGUACCAUGGCUAAUAUCCAUGAUAUUUGACGGUACCGCUAGAGGAAGCACCGGCUAACUCCGUG